rnacentral:rRNA from 1 species
UCCUGACUGACCGAUAGUGAACCAGUACCGUGAGGGAAAGGCGAAAAGAACCCCGGCGAGGGGAGUGAAAAAGAACCUGAAACCGUGUACGUACAAGCAGUGGGAGCACGCUUAGGCGUGUGACUGCGUACCUUUUGUAUAAUGGGUCAGCGACUUAUAUUCUGUAGCAAGGUUAACCGAAUAGGGGAGCCGAAGGGAAACCGAGUCUUAACUGGGCGUUAAGUUGCAGGGUAUAGACCCGAAACCCGGUGAUCUAGCCAUGGGCAGGUUGAAGGUUGGGUAACACUAACUGGAGGACCGAACCGACUAAUGUUGAAAAAUUAGCGGAUGACUUGUGGCUGGGGGUGAAAGGCCAAUCAAACCGGGAGAUAGCUGGUUCUCCCCGAAAGCUAUUUAGGUAGCGCCUCGUGAAUUCAUCUCCGGGGGUAGAGCACUGUUUCGGCAAGGGGGUCAUCCCGACUUACCAACCCGAUGCAAACUGCGAAUACCGGAGAAUGUUAUCACGGGAGACACACGGCGGGUGCUAACGUCCGUCGUGAAGAGGGAAACAACCCAGACCGCCAGCUAAGGUCCCAAAGUCAUGGUUAAGUGGGAAACGAUGUGGGAAGGCCCAGACAGCCAGGAUGUUGGCUUAGAAGCAGCCAUCAUUUAAAGAAAGCGUAAUAGCUCACUGGUCGAGUCGGCCUGCGCGGAAGAUGUAACGGGGCUAAACCAUGCACCGAAGCUGCGGCAGCGACGCUUAUGCGUUGUUGGGUAGGGGAGCGUUCUGUAAGCCUGCGAAGGUGUGCUGUGAGGCAUGCUGGAGGUAUCAGAAGUGCGAAUGCUGACAUAAGUAACGAUAAAGCGGGUGAAAAGCCCGCUCGCCGGAAGACCAAGGGUUCCUGUCCAACGUUAAUCGGGGCAGGGUGAGUCGACCCCUAAGGCGAGGCCGAAAGGCGUAGUCGAUGGGAAACAGGUUAAUAUUCCUGUACUUGGUGUUACUGUGAAGGGGGGACGGAGAAGGCUAUGUUGGCCGGGCGACGGUUGUCCCGGUUUAAGCGUGUAGGCUGGUUUUCCAGGCAAAUCCGGAAAAUCAAGGCUGAGGCGUGAUGACGAGG